rnacentral:rRNA from 1 species
UGCCUACGGGGCGCAGCAGUGGGGAAUAUUGCACAAUGGGGGAAACCCUGAUGCAGCGACGCCGCGUGAGUGAAGAAGUAUCUCGGUACGUAAAGCUCUAUCAGCAGGGAAGAAAAUGACGGUACCUGACUAAGAAGCCCCGGCUAACUACGUGCCAGCAGCCGCGGUAAUACGUAGGGGGCAAGCGUUAUCCGGAUUUACUGGGUGUAAAGGGAGCGUAGACGGCAGCGCAAGUCUGGAUUGAAAUGCCGGGGCCCAACCCCGGAGCUGCUUUG